rnacentral:misc_RNA from 1 species
GAAAUGCGAUAAGUAAUGUGAAUUGCAGAAUUCAGUGAAUCAUCGAAUCUUUGAACGCACAUUGCGCCCCCUGGUAUUCCGGGGGCAUGCCUGUUCGAGCGUCAUUUCACCACUCAAGCCUCGCUUGGUAUUGGGCAACGCGGUCCGCCGCGUGCCUCAAAUCGACCGGCUGGGUCUUCUGUCCCCUAAGCGUUGUGGAAACUAUUCGCUAAAGGGUGUUCGGGAGGCUACGCCGUAAAACAACCCCAUUUCUAAGGUUGACCUCGGAUCAGGUAGGGAUACCCGCUGAACUUAAGC